rnacentral:lncRNA from 10 species
GAGGCUGCCACGAGCUGAGUCAGGAGAGCUUAGGGGGAGAGCGGGAAAGGACUGCAGCCGGGGAGAGCAGGACGCGCCAUCUCCAUUGGCACCCUCUCCCGCCCCACUUCCAUCGCUAGAAAACUAAGGAUUCGGUGUUGGGACCACUCCUGCCCUGACCUGCCCUGUGACUCCGUCAUACUCUCCAAAGGCCAGACCCUCCUAGACCAGCUGGAACCACCAUCAAGAUGUCCCCAGCCAUGUCAGACUCUGGGGCCCCAGGCGGAGGGCAACCAGAUGUCUUCAGCUCCAAGUCUGGCCUCUCCUCCCAGCAAGCAGCCAUUACAGAAACUGAGGCUUGGCCAGGCGUGGUGGCUCACACCUGCAAUCUCAGCACUGGGAGGCCAAGGUGGGCAGAUCGCUUGAGCCCAGGAGUUUGA